UACGGCAUUUCUGUCUUCACUGCUUUGAUUCAAAUUAAACUUGUCAAUCUCAUCAAAGAAUGUGGCAUGAUUGUCGAAAAACCAAACAAAAGCCUGCAUGCAUCGUUCCACAUCUCUGAGACUCACAAAGCUGCAUUCAUCUUUUCUUUUGCGCAUAUAUUUCUGUGAGUCUGAGAGGACAUUCACAAUCGUUUCUACAUAAACGUUACUGAUGACAUGACAUUGAACCACUCUCUGUACAAUCUGCUGAAUGUAAAUCUUCUCUGUGUCAUCAUUUAACUGCCCAAAGUCCCACACAAGUGGGAUCAUGCUUGGAGGUAAGGCGUGCACUCGAUACACUAACUGCCGUAGUGGAAUAGAUCCAAGUUUUUCAUCCGUUUCCUCUGCUCGAACUCUGUAUCCUAGACCGGCAGAUUCUAGUCUCUCUAUCAUCUCAUCUGUGUGCUUGCGGUAUGGAUUGCAUGCUGCUAUGAUCUGUAGACCACAGCCUGAUGUCAGAGCUUCUCCUUGAACAGUCUUGUCACAAAGGACCUCCUUGAUGCUGCUGAUGGCCUCCGUGGUGUUUGCCUCAUCAAAGAAUAGAACAGAAUCAAAGCUAUAGUCCUGUUUGUUGAUUGCAGCCAUAGUUUCUGCUUCUUUGACUUUGGCAUAGAUCAUGCGUGAGGUUGUGCCACCAUGGACUUUGACCAAUUUCAUGUUUUCUGUAGCCAUUCCACUUUUUCGUAACUCACAAAGAAACUUGAUGAGCCUUGUUUUCCCACAUCCCGUCUCUCCCAUGAUGAUAACUGGAAUGCCACACCUGAAGCGCAUGUGGAUUGCAAGUAUCUUGAGAAUGUUGUCUGUGGUCAGCUCAUAAGUUUCAUCUGGGUCCAGAGGCCACUGGAUACCAAGAACAUUACACAUUCGCUCUAUUUUCUCUCCUCUUGGAAGUCGGUCAAAGUCAAUGUUAAACGGCACUCUCUGCAGCCGUAGGCUGUUAUACAGCUGUUUAGUCAUAACAUUUCUCUUAAUGACUCUUCCUGAAGCAGGAUCUAUGGCAUCAACAGCAUUGUGAUCGUUGGGUUGAAGGUGAAAACCUAUAAAGGUCAUGGACACAUGAUCAUCAUUAAAAAAGAUAUAUGGAUGUGGUUCUGUUUCCCAUCUCUUCCGAAUAAGGAAAGGUGCCAGGUCUUCUUCUCUCACACCAGUCAGAUCCACAUGUGGCGUGCCAGGACUCUGGUCAGAAAUACUAAGUGAUGGAGUGGCAAAAUCUUUAGCCAUCAAAAUCAUAAAGUCUACAACAAAUCUUUUGAAUCCUACAAGAGUGUCUCCAAUAAACUCAGCAUCACAGAAGACAGAUGUCUCACAGUCUUGGAGCUGUAGAUUGAGAAACCAUGCAAAGUUUCGUAGUUCUGCCCAGGACGGGUUCAUGAUUCCACAGUGCAUAAGAAGCAUCUGAAGACAUUCCCCAUGUGAGCCUUUGACUCCCUUAUAUGUGAACCUAUCCAGAUCAGCAUGAUUAUGAAAUCGAGUGAGAUAUUGAUAAGGUCGCUGAAAGGCAGCACUUCUGAACUCUUCAUCAUCCAUCAAUGGAUCUUCACUAUUAAAAAUAGUGGGGUCAUCGUUUUUCCUCAGCUCUAUUUCUAGUACCUCCUUCGGAGGUCGGCAGAAAAUAUUUGGAAACACAUCUGUGAAUGAUGAUUUCUGAGC
ensembl:lncRNA